rnacentral:rRNA from 1 species
UCCAAGAAUAUUAGUCAAUGCUCGCAAGAGUGAACUAGCUAACUGAAAUCGAAGGAGUGUCUUCUUUGAUAAAAUAUAGAUAAAUAAUGAUUUCUAUAUCAAUAGUGUUGUCCAAAACUGGUGCCAGAAGACUCGGUAAUACCAGAGACGCGAACGUUAGUCAUCUUUAACAGGCGUAAAGAAUUCGCAGGCGUCUUCGAAAGCUUAUACUUUUUAAUAGUUUACCUCAAGGUUAAAAAAGGAUAAGUGAUUUGAAGAUAGAAUCUAAUAGAGGAUGUAAAAAAUACUGAGAGUAGGGUUAAAAUCCGCAAAACCUUGGUGGAAUUUCAAUGGCGAAGGCUAUUCAUCUAGUUACAGAUUGACGCUGAGGAAUGAAGGUGUGGAUACCGAAAGAGAUUAGAGACCUCAUUAGCCCACACAGUCAACGAUGUAUGGUAGUCUGCUAGUAUAUAAAAUAUUGGUGGCGAAGUUAACGCGUUUACCAUACCGCCUUGCGAGUACGACUGCAAAGUUGAAAUCUAAAAAAUUAGUCGGUCUCGAAGCAAACGAAGUGAAGCAUGUUAUUUAAUUCGAUAAAUCGCAAA